CGAAUGGGGAAACCCAGUGUGAUUCGUCACACUAUCAUUAACUGAAUCCAUAGGUUAAUGAGGCGAACCGGGGGAACUGAAACAUCUAAGUACCCCGAGGAAAAGAAAUCAACCGAGAUUCCCCCAGUAGCGGCGAGCGAACGGGGAGGAGCCCAGAGCCUGAAUCAGCAUGUGUGUUAGUGGAAGCGUCUGGAAAGGCGCGCGAUACAGGGUGACAGCCCCGUACACAAAAGCGCAUGUGCUGUGAGCUCGAUGAGUAGGGCGGGACACGUGGUAUCCUGUCUGAAUAUGGGGGGACCAUCCUCCAAGGCUAAAUACUCCUGACUGACCGAUAGUGAACCAGUACCGUGAGGGAAAGGCGAAAAGAACCCCGGCGAGGGGAGUGAAAAAGAACCUGAAACCGUGUACGUACAAGCAGUGGGAGCACCCUUUGGGUGUGACUGCGUACCUUUUGUAUAAUGGGUCAGCGACUUAUAUUCUGUAGCAAGGUUAACCGAAUAGGGGAGCCGGAGGGAAACCGAGUCUUAACCGGGCGUUAAGUUGCAGGGUAUAGACCCGAAACCCGGUGAUCUAGCCAUGGGCAGGUUGAAGGUUGGGUAACACUAACUGGAGGACCGAACCGACUAAUGUUGAAAAAUUAGCGGAUGACCUGUGGCUGGGGGUGAAAGGCCAAUCAAACCGGGAGAUAGCUGGUUCUCCCCGAAAGCUAUUUAGGUAGCGCCUCGUGAAUUCAUCUCCGGGGGUAGAGCACUGUUUCGGCUAGGGGGCCAUCCCGGCUUACCAACCCGAUGCAAACUGCGAAUACCGGAGAAUGUUAUCACGGGAGACACACGGCGGGUGCUAACGUCCGUCGUGAAGAGGGAAACAACCCAGACCGCCAGCUAAGGUCCCAAAGUCAUGGUUAAGUGGGAAACGAUGUGGGAAGGCCCAGACAGCCAGGAUGUUGGCUUAGAAGCAGCCAUCAUUUAAAGAAAGCGUAAUAGCUCACUGGUCGAGUCGGCCUGCGCGGAAGAUGUAACGGGGCUAAACCAUGCACCGAAGCUGCGGCAGCGACACUGUGUGUUGUUGGGUAGGGGAGCGUUCUGUAAGCCUGUGAAGGUGUGUCGUGAGGCAUGCUGGAGGUAUCAGAAGUGCGAAUGCUGACAUAAGUAACGAUAAAGCGGGUGAAAAGCCCGCUCGCCGGAAGACCAAGGGUUCCUGUCCAACGUUAAUCGGGGCAGGGUGAGUCGACCCCUAAGGCGAGGCCGAAAGGCGUAGUCGAUGGGAAACGGGUUAAUAUUCCCGUACUUGGUGUUACUGCGAAGGGGGGACGGAGAAGGCUAUGUUGGCCGGGCGACGGUUGUCCCGGUUUAAGCGUGUAGGUGUGUGUUCCAGGUA
rnacentral:rRNA from 1 species